rnacentral:lncRNA from 12 species
AUGACACCGAGAUGGAAAGGCAUAGCAAGACAAUGUCUAAAUAUUCUUUUUCAAUUGUUUCUACGGGGAUUGGCUGGCAAUGGUCAAGGUAAACGGGUUGUUAAUGAAUCUCCAGAUGAUACAGGCAUGCUUUAUUUUUAUUUUUAUUUUUAUUUUUAUUUUUAUUUUAGAUUACUAGGGAGUGGAGGAGACCCGGGGCUGGUAGAGGGGGCCGGAUUUGUUGUUGUUCUCUGCCGGAUAUCUAUCGCCAGUGUUCGGCGUGUGCAAUGGUGCGCAUUUAAACUCUGGAUCAAUGAGUGGCCUUUGGAACAGAAUGGGGAAAAAGAGAGAGCCCAGAUCUCAGUAAUACAAGGCACCUUCCAGAACCGUGUGAUUUCUUAGGUGCAGAAAAAAAAAAAAAAAGAAAAGAAAAAGAAAAGAAAAAGAAAAAGAAAAAAAAGAAACAGACACCACGAAAUUCAUUUCUACCCAUUCUGGCCUAAUUAAGAAAGCAUUACAGCACAACAUGUCCUCUUGGGACAAAACAUUUAAUUCCCCCCUCGCCCCCACCCCGUGCAUUCUGUUUAUAAUCUGAAUGGGGAAAGAGCGCGAUUAACUUUGUAAAUAAAGAUCUAUGCUUUUACA